rnacentral:misc_RNA from 1 species
GGAUGAAGAACGUAGCGAAAUGCGAUACGUAAUGUGAAUUGCAGAAUUCAGUGAAUCAUCGAGUCUUUGAACGCACAUUGCGCCCCCUGGUAUUCCGGGGGGCAUGCCUGUCCGAGCGUCAUUGCUGCCCUCAAGCACGGCUUGGGUGUUGGGCCUCCGUCCUCCUCCCGGGGGACGGGCCCGAAAGGCAGCGGCGGCACCGCGUCCGGUCCUCGAGCGUAUGGGGCUUCGUCACCCGCUCUUGUAGGCCCGGCCGGCGCUUGCCGACACAUCAAUCUUUUUUCCAGGUUGACCUCGGAUCAGGUAGGGAUACCCGCUGAACUUAAGCAUAUCAAUAAGCGGAGGA